CCAAGGACUCAGCUGACUCCUGAGCACGUCAGAGAGCACGAUGGUGCCAUGUGGGUUGCAGCCACAUUGCCACCAAAAUGUCUGCUGUCGCGCAGCCACAUGAUGCACAGGGCAGCCCUGACCACCAGGCUGAGGUCUCCCUGUUCGUGUGACGAUGUCAGCGCUCGAGGCCGGCUGCUUGGAAUCCCAGAUUUGGCACGGUCUCUUCUCAUCAAGGCCUGAGAUGACGUAACCGUGCCACGUCUCCCUCGGGACGCCGGAGGGUCUGUGCCAGGAGGGCUGCCUGAGGAAGAGCGCUGUUUAUCGCCGGAGACCCGCCUCGCCUCCACCAGCUCGGCCUACGCUCGGGCAGAGCUGCAGCUUGCCAGUCCUGGCCUCCAACGGCCCCAGAGCUGUGCCUGGUUCCUCCCUGCUGCCUCACAGGAGAGGCUCCACGAGUGAAUGCAGAGGGGAAAUGGAAACCCCACGCUGACUGAGGAGACCAGACCACGGAUGGACACACAGUCAGAGGGGAGAGCGUGUGGGAAUCGUCAUUCGUGCCCCAAGAUGACCC
rnacentral:lncRNA from 1 species